AACCCAUGGUGAGGGCACCUUCUCAAAAGAUCUUUGUAUCUUUCCCAUGCAUCAUAAAGAGUUUCUAAAUCCAUCUACACAAAAGAAGAGAUAUCAUUCCUUAGUUU
rnacentral:snoRNA from 1 species